rnacentral:sRNA from 1 species
UCAAUGGGUUGGGGAUACUACAAAGUUACAUCUACGGCUGACACUGUGUACAAAUAUAUGUAUGUAUACAUCUAUAGAAUGUUUUCACCAAACAUCGAAGGCUUUAGCAAAUUGUUGAUCCAAGUUGAACAAUAUUUUACGAGAUCGCCGUUAAAAGGCUUUGUAGUUGCGCAAAGAGCAGUUCCGUUACUUUUAAAUUGAACUUAACAGUUAUGCUGGGACGUCACAUUUUCGGCUUCUGUUCUGUUCUGUUAUAUGACCUGAACCACUAACCAUAGAACCAUAGAAUCGCUUUACACUACUUGUCCGGUCUAUGUGUUUUAUGGUUAGUGCCUGAACCACUACCCAUGUAUGCUGAAAGUUCAUUGUUAAAAGACCCUCAAUCGUGGUGUCAGUCUAUGUGGUAUAUGGCUAGUAAUUUCAGUUUGGUCCUGCAAUGGCACAAUGGUUUUAAAAAGUAUGUAACAGGCAGAAGGAAUCAUCGCAGACCCCGUAAAGUAUAUACAUAUAUUCUUGAUCAGGGCCACGAGCUGACUCGUGUUGAUUCCGAAAAUGUGACGUCACUGUCACUGUUAUUGUUGAAACUGUUAGUGUCAAGUAGACAGUUCGCUUUGCAGAACCUAUUAUUACUCAAUGUCGCUCAUUCGCGGGUUAGUGGCAACACAAUGAAGCUGCGUAAGGACGGCGGGUUCUAGCAGACGCUAAUAUAAGAUAACUACACCAAAGAGCAAACUAAAUAUUUUCAACAUGCACAAAAUGCAGAUGAUUGAUGGCUCUGUUUGUUGAACGUAAAGCGAUAUAUAUAAGUGGAAGUAUUAAAACAACGGAAUCUUAAUAGCUACAUGAAUUAACGCCGUUUCCCAAUUCGCCGUAAAAAUUAAUUUCGCAAGAGACGCGACACCGAUUUGCAUUUGAUAGGAGCUGAUCAUAAAUCUGAAGUAGAAGAAGAAUGGAUAUCGGGGUUAGGAACAUAAAAGCGUUUGAUGGAGAGAAAU